rnacentral:lncRNA from 1 species
GGCUCACAGGAAACUGGUCACAGUGUCUACUCCCAGGGAAAGAAUCUGGGUGACUGGGGGAUGAGAAGAAGAGACUGUUCUUCUACUCUAUGCCCAUUGGUACCUCUUAAAAUAGAUAUUUCUUUGACCCCCACCACCACCACCACAGUCCACUAUUAGGGAUUUACUUUCUUGAGCAGGCUGCUCUUUCAAAAUGAAACUCUCCAGAAAAGCCAUCUUGAAUCUCCUGAUGCCUCAGCUUGAACGUCUGUCUCUGGGGUGGCCGGGGCAGAUGGGAGAGCCUAGCCCGGGGUGGAACCAGGGAGGCGGGAGGGGGCCCAGAGCGGAUACAGCCAGGGGCUGUGAAGACCUUGUUUCUGCCUUGAGUCUCCCUCCCCCCGGAAGAGUUGCUGUUUUAGGCAGGACUAAGUGCUGGUACACAGAGUGGGGGGUCUGGGAGGCCCCCGGAGGAAAGUGAAGAGGGCAUGCAGCCGCAGUCAUGGGACCCUGCUGUUGGGCAGUGGGAAAGGUGGCUGUGGCCAGUCGACCCUCCAGGCCUCCACCUGCCCGAAGCGCAUGGCUGAGCACAGGGCAGAGUCCGAGGAAGGGAGGGUACAUCCCAGCAGAAGGGUUAAUGCCUAAACCAGUGGCUCUCAAUCUCUGGUGCCCCCAGGGCCACAUGUCUGCCUAAAAGGCCAGCGGGCAGCCCCAGAAGCUGACAGUGAGAAAGGCAGAGCAAAAAGAUGUGCAACAUCCUGUUGCAGUGAGGCCAAAUGCCCUGGUGCUGGAAGUCCGUUUGGGCGAGGGUUCAUGACAGGAUGUUCUCAAAGGUGUUCCUCCUCACUGGCUGGUGCUGCUGCAUAACUGGGCUCAGCCUGUCUGCUGGGCGAGUGGUGGUGACCAGUGACCUGCGUCCCACCCUGAACUUGGAAGACAGCUGUCUGCGAGCGCGGCUGAGGAGAUGUGCCCAGCACUCUGUCCUGUGGCCGGCAGGGCAGGCCGUGCCCACACCCCCACGCGUGCGGAGUGGCUCUAUGGGAGACGGCCUCAAGGAAUGGGUCGCCCCCAAGAAAGCUGAUGUGACAGACACGCCAUGAGUGGCAGGCCUAGUCCGCAGACACUGUCCUUGUCACACCCUGCCAUCUAGGUGGAUGUGAGGAAUGGAGCUGAAGGAAGCGUGUGAAGAAACCCUGAGAGGGAGCGUCAGCAUCUGGACGUAGCUCCAGGACAAGGGCCGUGGAGUUUGGCCAACCAUCGCCCUUUGCACUGACUUGGUGUCACCCAGAACUUCCGAGUGGUCCUCUGGCUUCCUGUGGCAAUGCCCCUGCCGCGAGAGGACGCGGCAGCUGCAGAGAGAGGGACAGGCCCCCGG